rnacentral:rRNA from 1 species
CCCUUAGAUGUUCUGGGCGGCCCGCGCACUACAAUGGCGCUUUCAGCGAGUUCCUAUGUUGAAUUUUCCUGGGUAUUCUUGGAAGCGGCGUCUUGACUUGGGAUAGAUCCUUGUAAUUGUUGGUUUUGAACGAGGAAUUCCUUGUAAUCGCGGUUGAUCAGCUCGCGUUGAAUACGUCCCUGCCCGUUGUACACACCGCCCGUCGCUCCUACCGAUGAAUCGUCCGGUGAAGUUCACAGAGUGGCGGUUCGUGGAGUUGCUCGCGAAGUGAAAUGGACCUCACGAUUUAGAGGAAGGAGAAGUCGUAACA